AGUAUGUGGUUUAAUUCGACGCAACGCGCAGAACCUUUACCUAGACUUGACAUCCCGGGGAUUUUCUGGAAACAGAGAAGUGCUUUAGCAAUAAAGAACCCGGUGACAGGUGCUGCAUGGCUGUCGUCAGCUCGUGUCGUGAGAUGUUGGGUUAAGUCCCGCAACGAGCGCAACCCUCGCCUUUAGUUGCCAGCAUUCAGUUGGGCACUCUAGAGGGACUGCCGGUGUCAAACCGGAGGAAGGUGGGAUGACGUCAAGUCCUCAUGGCCUUUAUGUCUAGGGCUACACACGUACUACAAUGGCCGGUACAAAGGGCAGCCACUCAGCGAUGAGGCGCUAAUCCCAUAAAGCCGGUCUCAGUCCGGAUCGCAGUCUGCAACUCGACUGCGUGAAGUUGGAAUCGCUAGUAAUCGUAGAUCAGCAUGCUACGGUGAAUACGUUCCCGGGCCUU
rnacentral:rRNA from 1 species